rnacentral:rRNA from 1 species
CAGAGGGUGCAAGCGUUGCUCGGAUUUACUGGGCGUAAAGCGUACGCAGACGGCUUGGUAGGUCGGAUGUGAAAGCCCCGGGCUCAACCCGGGAAUUGCAUCCGAAACCACCUCGCUUGAGUAUGGGAGAGGGAAGCGGAAUUCCUGGUGUAGAGGUGAAAUUCGUAGAUAUCAGGAGGAACACCGGCGGCGAAGGCGGCUUCCUGGCCCAUUACUGACGUUCAGGUACGAAAGCGUGGGGAGCAAACAGGAUUAGAUACCCUGGUAGUCCACGCCGUAAACGAUGUGUGCUGGAUGUCGGGGGUAUUCACCCCCUCGGUAUCGAAGCUAACGCGAUAAGCACACCGCCUGGGGAGUACGGCCGCAAGGUUG